GUGCGCGAGAUUUUCCACCCGCGAGCCGCGCUACCACCACCGCCGUUGCCGCCACUGCCACCGCUGGGUGGGAACCAAAACAGGCGAAACAGUCGGCGAUCAGUAUCCGAGGCAGUCGCAGCCUGUCAUACGCACCUAGCAAUUAGCACAUGAAGACUCCUGAGAUGUGAGACGUCGCCUGUGGGAGAUCAUCACCUCCGGUCGAAUUGCGCCCCACACAUUCGUAUUUCAAUCGGGACCAACGCCGCCACAGGAUGGUCCUCGCGCGACAGCAGGGCACGUCGACGGUGUGCUGAAGACAAUGGACAACAGAGCGAUUCGCCGAGGGUGAAAAAACGCACACUCGCCACUACGGGACUCUUUGUUGCUGUCAAGUGAAUGAACUCCGCCCAAAUUUUUAAUUAUAAUCGAAAACGAUACUUGCCGCGCGUUUCGUGACGAACUGACUACGUUUGUUUUACUGCGACGUUUCCCAUCGUUAACAUUUCACGUUGCAAUUCAGUCCAGGUUGUCGUCGUAGUGUGCAGACAGGAUGAUCGGCGCAAUGCCUGCCGUCGCCGUGCGGCACGAGCGGAGGAAAGGUGGUGGCGGUGGCGGCCAGGAUAAACGCUCCAAACGCCCUAGCCACUUAUACAUUGGGGCCACUGGCUGCCUCCGACGAGUCCUAGUCCCACGCCUAGCCCGAACGGUCCGCAUGACAGCGACCACUUAGUCCCUGAGUACUAUCUGUGUGGGAAGUUAUCAAUAUUGCAAAUCAUCGUGGGUGCCCUGCUGCUGGGCAGUAUUGUAUUGGUGGUGGGCCUGGUGCAGUUGAUGCCCAAUGCCGCCGACGCCGACCAUCGCUUCCUUUUCCUCAGCGCUGGGUCCGGUCUCCUGCUUGGCGGGAUUAUGAUGACAGCGCUGCGAUAUUUCUGUAUGCGGCGACGGUAUAUGCGACACACCACUGAUGAGCCGCCGCCGCAGAUCGAUGCCGUCAACAGCAUCGACGACCUCGUCCAGCGCAAAGAUACGCAGGUCUUCGCACAGCACCAUCCUCAGCGGUAGUAAGCGCAAAUAAGCGAGGCUUCCAGGGCAUCUCCAAUUGAUUCCGUUAUCGAGUGUGUUUCGUAAGUUUUUCGUUGUAUCUUUCGGCGUUGUUCACCCAGGAAACACGGCUCUUGCCUUCUUAUCACUUAUCAGUAGAGUUGAACCACUGCUAACACCCCUUGAACAAACUAAUAGCAGCCAAUAAAUCUGGCUAGGGUGAAAAUGGUAAUAUGGAUGUACUGAUAAUAGAAAAAAGGUCCAUAUUAUUAUCUACCUCUACCUGUAUUACACGCACUCAUUUAAAAUAAAGUCGCAGUAAGAAAACCAUGCACUACUUUGCAUUUUUAAUGAAAUGCGAGUUUUUAUUCUUACUGCGAACGCAAUAACUCUUCAAAUGACCUGGCAAGCCAUCCCCUGAUGAUGCAGUCGAGAUGCAGUCGAUAAGGUGUUAUAUUUACAUUUCCAUAGCCCCGAAGCACUUCAGAUGCACUCUAUGAGAUACUCGCAUUUUAAUUGACACUGGAAGCUGGAAAUUAAAUUCAAAGUUUAUCCCCAUGAAGAAGCUCCAGUAAAAUUAAAUUCCUGUCGCUAAUACCAUUAGUGGCCAUUAGUAUUUUACAUUAUUGGCUCGAGUUUAAAAUAUCAUCGAUUUUCCUUUGUCUGGCCCAAGCACUUGCAUAUUGGCUGGAUUGGAGUGGGUCAAUAUCAAAAUGAAGUUCUGCGCGUUCCGAUUGCACUGAUUGGACUGACUAGUUAAAGGUCACAAUUCCGCACGCAGAAUAUGCACAAUAUGAAUCAAAAAUUGCGGUUGGGCCGAACAAUUGGGAAUUGUGUACAAGCUGGAAUCGCCAAUAGUCUGAACUCUGAUUGUUUUAAUGAUGCAUCAAUUCUGGUUUGUUUAUUUCUAGGCCAAAUCGAAGGGAUUAGGAUACGUUUUAUUGACAUAUCAAGAAGAUUCAUUCGAUAAACCCAAGUACUUUAAUUGAUCAAUACUUGAACAAUGUAUAUCAGCUGAGCCGGAUGCAUUUUUAUAUUUUUAUAUGGCUGUUGAGACACGAUUUGUGAAAUGGACGAAGAAUGGACACGUACGGGGUUGUUGGAGAAUGAUACUUAUUAAGAAAAUGUGACACUUGAUGAAACUUGCGACCAAAAUUAAGAGUGAUUGUUUUUCUUUCUUCUGUAUUGAAGUUUUGAACAUUGGCCAGAGUCGAGAGUCAUAAUUAAAACCAAAUACAGUGUACAACCUGAGACUCCAUGUUCCUAUAGAUAUUUGAUCUAUAUAUUUUAUUAAGGAAGUUGACCAAUUUACGUACUUAUGCAUAUCGGUACCUAUUAAGAAUGUUAGAAGGGGAUGACUUUUAAUGUUAGUAUAAUCAUGUCUUUAAACUUGGCUUGUAGGUCAACGUUUGAAUGCUUUUAUUUGUUAUUUGGGAGUAAAACAUGACAAACGAUUUGUGAAAGUUGGAAUUAUGACCGACUGAAUUUAACAUAACUCACGACUAUUGUGUGCUCAUAUCGAUCAUAAUUAGCUAGGUGUAUAACAAACAAUGUGUCAAACAUACAAUGAAAACGACGUUUUGCACAACGGAGAUUAUUGCAGAAAUAAAAGUGCAUGCCGCGCAUUGAAUGACAUUAAAUACCCACAAGCAAAUUUUAAAACAGCGAUUGUACUUACUUAACAUAGUGCAUUUGAAAUUAAACACUUUGAAAAUAAUACAACACGAGUUCUAGAAAAUUGUCAUUGACAAGAGGCACAGAUUAGACGACUAUUCAAUUCUAAAAUCAGAAAUAUUUAACAAGAACUAGUACACUGUAAAUUAUUUUUUCGAUAUUGAAAUUUCUAUUGCACUAUAAAGUUUAACUUCGGCAAGCAAAUUGUAUAGCUGUAAAUACCCCUUUAAAAUGUCUUCGAAUGGAGAUUAUUAUGCCAAAUCAAUGUGCCAAGUUUGGUAGUGCCAAAUUAAUACGUAACUAAUGAACAUAUCCUCUUCAAACAGUCCCGAAUUGGUACAAACGUAAGCUAGUAUAAGUGAUUUAUAUUUUAUUGUUGACUUUGGAGUAUUUUUAUGUGAGAACCAAAUAAAUACCACUUUAGCAAAUGUGCCACUGAAAUGCAUUACAAACAUGCCAAAACGCAUUAAAGUAAACUUUUUGAACGCUGAUCGAAUGUCAGUUCAUGGAUGAGGCGAGUGGUAAGUCGAAUUUUCAAGCAACGCCAAUUAGUUCUAAGGCACCGUGAUGUAGUUGAUAUCCAAUUACAACCGAAAAUAAUCAACCACACCAAAACCAGAAUAUACCAUUUAGUGUACGUUCGUCAUCCGCCAAUUAGAGCAUUGUGUUUCUUAGUCAGUUUUAUUUAGCCAGUAGUGUCCAAAACUAGUAUGUAAUCAGUAAUCCGAUUGGAGUAAGCUGUGAUCAAGUACACGUUGAUUGUUGACCAGUAGAGAAUUUGUAUCGUCCACCCUCUCUCUGUUCGUCCACAAGUCACACAUCUGCGUGUUGUGUUGAGUUUCGUUUUGGUAGACACCGACUUAGACUGGCCAUUCGCCAUUGAUCACACCGUUUCAUUACAAAAUAGUCAUAGCAUAGUGGAAUAUUUUACGCUUUAAUUCAUUUGAGUUAAGCUGAUGCAAAGUUGAGCGGCUGCCAACUGAAUUAAUUCAGAAAUGCUCGGAUCAUUCAGGCAGCUCUGCGCUUCAACUUUGUAUCAAGUGCGUGAAUCGCGGACGACUAAUAAAUUUGUUUUUAGGCGACGCUGCCAUCCGAAUUGGACAUCCUUAUCGAAGAUGAGAAAGGCGACAAUGAGCCGGACAAGGAUGACAAAAGCAACGAGGAGGCGGAGGAGGCGCAUACCAAAAAGUCCAAAGCGCACCACAGCAACAGCCAUGAGCGAAAGAAGAACUCGAAAUAAAAAUAUGUACACCUUCCUUUGCUUGCCUAUUCCAAAUAUAAACUCUAAGGUAAUUUUAAUGAAAAUAUGUGCGAACGUGAUAGACGAUGCAAAAAUAUCGAAUUUUAUUCUUCUACAUUUUCCAAACUUUAUAUACAAAUUAUAUCAAUUAGGAAGCUGUAGUGAUGUAAAGUUUAGAUUCCAAUGAACAAAAUUCUACACACGUGAAAUAUUUUUAAAUAAUUUAUACAUAUAGUUGAAAUUCUUACAAAUUUCCCCAAUGACAUGAAUUUGACCAAACGUAGAAGAGGAUAAUGAAUUAAAUUGUGAUCGAAUAAUACCGCAUUCCGAAUUAUAAUGCCAAAAUUAUAAAAAAAAACAUCAACAUAGAAGCAGAUCUAAGCUGAUCCGCAUGCAAAGUAGUUUAGACACUAAAGACAUGUCUUCGUUCCCGAAAAUUCUUCGCCAGCAAUAUUUAGAAUUAAUCGUGCGCUACUUUCAAUUUCUGCGACGUGUCUUUUCGAUUACAUCUUGCGACGCAUUGGAUGAUUGACGCAAAUUUGAUGAUUGAUUACAGCGGUUGUUCGAGCCUUCACUAACUUAACGUUUUAUGCAUAUUUACGCAUCGCAUCUCUUCGCAAUCCCACAACAAUUCCGAACGAUUUAUCAAUGUGGGACAAGUUUGAUGAUCCGUACCGCAUUAUCUAUUUAUAUACAAGACUAAUAAGCGAACUCUAUUUAUAAACUAACUAGAUGAUUUUCUCACUCUACUCACUCUCAUAUUCCACGUUGGAGACUGCACGUGCUGGCAACAAACAAACAGUAGUUAAAUGUUUGCGAAUUGCACAGGUAAUGCAGAUGAUUAUUAUAUAAAACUAACAACUAUGCAUUGCGGAAGGUGGAAGAAAUGGGACGAAUGUAACGAGAGCACGAGGCGUCUCGAUAAGCGUAUUUUAAAUUUCCUACAUGUCCAAGCGUUCCGAAGUUCAAGGUGCUAUUAUAAUUUUAGAGUUUUACUUGAAUUGUGUUAACAAUUCGGACCAUGUGAGAGAGUUUUGUAGUGUUGUCAGAGAAACAAGUUUACUAAAUUUAGGAAUGUUAGAUGAUGAAUAACUUGAAAGUUUACUUCUGUUGACGGAUAUUUUCAUAAAAUAUUUAAUAUUACUAUUGUAUAAUCAUACCUGCAGUGUAGGGAGUAUUUUUACAAGAAAUAUGCUCGAUGGCAACACUACAUCUCGCAAUGAAUUUAUCAAUACAUACGAAAUAUCAAUACAAACAGAAUUUAGCAAAACAACAACACUUUUCAGAUGUGUAUGCGAUAAGAGAUAACAAAAUAUCACGACUACCAUCUAAGAUUUUACUUCUUGUUCCCGUUUUCUAAAUAUGGUAUGAAGUCAUUUUACAAACUUAAUAUCAAAUAAUGCCAGUAUAUAACAUGAUUGUUAAAACCAACUUUAUUUAGACUAGAGGGAGAGAAAUUUAAAGAAAAACGUAAUUUUUGACACAGCUGUUUCAACGUGCCUUCAUAUACAUAAUAAUGUAACACACAUAAACUUUGAAAAGCUAAUACAAUUGUAUAUUAAAUGUCACUAACAGUAAACGUUAAAACGGGUUAAGGUUAAGAUUACGAUUGGUGAUGAUUGAUCUCCACUUUACUGUCCCAUGUUUCUAUACAAUGCGGUUGAUGGUGAGUUCAAUUGUUUUGCCUUGUUUGCAAAUGUUUUCGGUUGAUGGAUUUCGUUGAUACUGAGCGUUGAUGAAAGUCUAUAUAUCAUAGGUUUGGAACAUAUAACAACUAUUACUACUACAAAUCCAAAUGCAAAAAUACAAGAACUACUGAUUUUCGUAUGAUGUAUUUCCAUAUAUGCGAUUGUACCGCACCAAACCAACUUGCAUUUUGAUAUAUCACAGAAAUGUUCUGUUUACUAUCUAUAUACACACACGCAUAUAUAUUAUAUAUUAAAUUAUUGAGAACUAUUAAAAACUAAUAAAUUACAUCGCACUGCGCUGUACUGCAGAGCGGAAGAUAUAUAUUUUCUUUAUUUGUUUGAUGUAGCAGGUACCUACAUCGCAUUUAAAUACUAAUUGGCGAACCAAAACGUACUUCCAAUAUGCCAUUAUAUAAUUUCUAUACAAAACGAUAUAUACUGCGUAUAUUUUCCAUAAUUACAAGGUAUUUUAACAUAUUGAAUUAUUCAUAGUUAUUUUAUAUUGAAUUAUAUGCAACAAAUUAAAUGUUUAAUAAAAUUUAUGUCGUCUAAAUAA